AGUGAACGCUGGCGGUAGGCCUAACACAUGCAAGUCGAACGGCAGCACAGUAAGAGCUUGCUCUUACGGGUGGCGAGUGGCGGACGGGUGAGGAAUACAUCGGAAUCUACUUUUUCGUGGGGGAUAACGUAGGGAAACUUACGCUAAUACCUCAUACGACCUACGGGUGAAAGCAGGGGAUCUUCGGACCUUGCGCGAUUGAAUGAGCCGAUGUCGGAUUAGCUAGUUGGCGGGGUAAAGGCCCACCAAGGCGACGAUCCGUAGCUGGUCUGAGAGGAUGAUCAGCCACACUGGAACUGAGAAACGGUCCAGACUCCUACGGGAGGCAGCAGUGGGGAAUAUUGGACAAUGGGCGCAAGCCUGAUCAAGCCAUACCGCGUGGGUGAAGAAGGCCUUCGGGUUGUAAAGCCCUUUUGUUGGGAAAGAAAAGCAGCAGGUUAAUACCCCGCUGUUCUGACGGUACCCAAAGAAUAAGCACCGGCUAACUUCGUG
rnacentral:rRNA from 1 species